GAGUGAAGCGGCAACAGCUCAAAUUUGAAAUCUGUCCCUUUUAGGGACCGAGUUGUAUUUUGUAGAGGGUGCUUCGGGGUUGGUCCCGGUCUAAGUUCCUUGGAACAGGACGUCAUAUAGGGUGAGAAUCCCGUACGUGGCCGGUGGCCCUCCCCAUGUGAAGCCCCUUCGACGAGUCAAGUUGUUUGGGAAUGCAGCUCUAAAUGGGAAGUAUAUUUCUUCUAAAGCUAGAUAUCGGCCGGACACCGAUAGCGCACAAGUAGAGUGAUCGAAAGAUGAAAAGCACUUUGAAAAGAGAGUCAAACAGUACGUGAAAUUGUUGAAAGGGAAGCGCUUGCGACCAGACUUGCCCGCAGUUGCUCAACCGGCCUUCUGGCUCGGUGCACUCUUCUGCGGUCAGGCCAGCAUCGGUUCGGGCGGUCGGAUAAAGACCUUGGGAAUGUGGCUCCCCUAGGGGAGUGUUAUAGCCCUUGGUGCAAUGCGGCCAGCCUGGACCGAGGACCGCGCUUCGGCUAGGAUGCUGGCGUAAUGGUCGUAAGCGGCCCGUCUUGAAACACGGACCAAGGAGUCUAACAUCUAUGCGAGUGUUUGGGUGUUAACCCAUACGCGUAAUGAAAGUGAACGGAGGUGGGAACCUUUGGGUGCACCAUCGACCGAUCCCGAUGUCUUCGGAAGGAUUUGAGUAAGAGCAUAGCUGUUGGGACCCGAAGAUGGUGACUAUACCUGAAUAGGGUGAACCCGAGGAACUCUGGUGGAGGCUCGCACGGUUCUGACGUGCAAUCGAUCGUCAAUUUGGGUAUAGGGGCAAAGACAAUCGAACCUUGCUAUAGGGGUCAAAGGCGAGCCUGAGGG
rnacentral:rRNA from 1 species